UGGCCGUUACUAUAGCGACCGAGUCUUCCGUCCCCGGACCCUUGCUGCUUUGUCAACAUCUUAGAGCUGCGGCAGUUCCAGAUGGCAGGGGUUAUACUUAAGCACUACUGAGUAGGACAGACAUUCUGUGAGGUGAGCUUGAUACAGAAGACAAGAACUGGUUGGAAAAGGGAGAGCAGUCCACAGAAAUGCAAAGAUGGCAUGAAUGGAGAAGACGCUCAGGAUAACAGAGACAGUGUGCAGGCAGGAAACCAUGUAAAAGAAUCUUCUGAUGUCAUAAUUUCUGGGUGUCACUGGAACAUUUGAUCAUCAUUCCUUUGGCAAUUCCAGCUUUCUAUGCAAGGUUUUCAGUGAAUUAUGGUUUUACGGUUUGGAACUCAGCCAAGGAGGUUUCCAGUGGAAGGAGGAGAUUCUUCAGUUGGGCGAGAAUCUGGGCUCAACGCCAAUGCUGUCUGUAACAGGAAUGAGAUAUCACCAAACAGGCAGCUCCGAAGAUGCCCUGCAAAUCAUUGCCUGACAAUAACUGAUGUUCCCAUCACUGUCUAUGCAACAAUGCAAAAGCCACCUGCACCAAGCAGCAGGGAAAUUCCUCCUAAAUAGCAUCAUUAAGUGUGAUGGAGGUUGACUAGGUCAAGGGUAAUGGGCCAGAAUCAUCUCAUGAUCUGGAACUUUGCAAAAUGAUUGUGCCUUCGGAGGUGAGGUAUGGGUAAUAACCAUACAGAAACACUGCUUUCCUGAAAUGCAUUCAAUAAAUACUUAUUAAGCAUAUAUCUUCAUGCCAGACACUCUUCUAGGCACUUGCAGCACAUUUGUGAAUAACACAGGAGCUGGGAGGAGGAAGUCUCAUCCGAUAACACAUUCCAGCUCUUAUAAAUGAAAUGGAAGCCUGUGCAAUCAUGCAAAGAAAAGCCUGGAACAAAGAAAACACCACCAAACAUGGAAGGAACUUCAAAUCCCAGAAGGUUUGGGGAGAUUCAGCGGCAGCGGCAGGAUGAAACAGAUGAUCCAGGAUGCUGCAUGCUGUGCUAAAUUUGAUUCAGUGGACCUCUUGGGGCCUGUGCAAUAUGUAAAACCAUGCUGGGAGUUCUAGGAAGGAAGCAGUGUGCAGAAAUUUUUUGCAUUUGUAAAAUCAGAGAGAUGUUACCUAUUCCUAGAAAUAUUGGGAGGACAAAACGAGUUAAUCCAUGUCAAGCAUUUAGAAUACCACACGACACACAGUAAUGUACUCCCCGCUGACACUGUGGCCAUGGACAAGGGUUCCAGAACUGCUCCUGGGACGGACUUCAAAUGCAAUUUC